CCUACGGGGUGCAGCAGUGGGGAAUAUUGCACAAUGGGCGCAAGCCUGAUGCAGCCAUGCCGCGUGUAUGAAGUAGGCCUUCGGGUUGUAAAGUACUUUCAGCGGGGAGAAAGGCGAUUAGGUUAAUAACCUUGUCGAUUGACGUUACCCGCAGAAGAAGCACCGGCUAACUCCGUGCCAGCAGCCGCGGUAAUACGGAGGGUGCAAGCGUUAAUCGGAAUUACUGGGCGUAAAGCGCACGCAGGCGGUUGAUUAAGUUAGAUGUGAAAUCCCCGGGCUUAACCUGGGAAUGGCAUCUAAGACUGGUCAGCUAGAGUCUUGUAGAGGGGGGUAGAAUUCCAUGUGUAGCGGUGAAAUGCGUAGAGAUGUGGAGGAAUACCGGUGGCGAAGGCGGCCCCCUGGACAAAGACUGACGCUCAGGUGCGAAAGCGUGGGGAGCAAACAGGAUUAGAUACCCCCGUAGUC
rnacentral:rRNA from 1 species